GAUGAACGCUAGCGGCAGGCCUAAUACAUGCAAGUCGAACGGUGUCUUCGGACAUAGUGGCGCACGGGUGCGUAACACGUAUGCAACCUACCUUACAUUGGGGGAUAGCCUUUCGAAAGGGAGAUUAAUACCGCAUAAGACAGUAGCUGGGCAUCCAGCAGCUGUUAAAGAUUUAUCGAUGUAAGCUGGGCAUGCGUCCAAUUAGCUAGUUGGUGAGGUAACGGCUCACCAAGGCAAUGAUUGGUAGGGGAACUGAGAGGUCAAUCCCCCACACGGGUACGGAGAUACGGGCCAGACGCCUACGGGAGGCAGCAGUAGGGAAUAUUGGGCAAUGGACGCAAGUCUGACCCAGCCAUGCCGCGUACAGGAUGAAGGCGUUAUGCGUUGUAAACUGCUUUUAUACAGGAAGAAACGACUCUUGCGAGAGGCAUUGACGGUACUGUAUGAAUAAGCACCGGCUAACUCCGUGCCAGCAGCCGCAGUAAUAC
rnacentral:rRNA from 1 species